AACGUAGGAGGCAAGCGUUAUCCGGAUUUACUGGGCGUAAAGGGUGUGCAGGCGGUUGUCCAAGUCGUGUGUGAAAGCGCUCCGCUUAACGGGGCGAGGCUAGACGAGACUGGGCGACUAGAAUCAGACAGAGGCAAGCGGAAUUCCGGGUGUAGUGGUGAAAUGCGUAGAGAUCCGGAGGAACACCAGAGGCGCAGGCGGCUUGCUGGGUCUGAAUUGACGCUGAGACACGAAAGCAUGGGGAGCGAACGGG
rnacentral:rRNA from 1 species